rnacentral:rRNA from 1 species
AUUGAACGCUGGCGGCAUGCUUUACACAUGCAAGUCGAACGGCAGCGCGGGCUUCGGCCUGGCGGCGAGUGGCGAACGGGUGAGUAAUGCAUCGGAACGUGCCCAGUAGUGGGGGAUAGCGCGGCGAAAGCCGGAUUAAUACCGCAUACGACCUGUGGGUGAUAGCGGGGGACCGAAAGGCCUCGCGCUAUUGGAGCGGCCGAUGUCGGUUUAGCUAGUUGGUGGGGUAAAGGCUUACCAAGGCGACGAUCCGUAGCUGGUCUGAGAGGACGACCAGCCACACUGGGACUGAGACGCGGCCGCGACUCCUACGGGAGGCAGCAGUGGGGAAUUUUGUACAAUAGGGGCAACACUGAUCCAGCCAUGCCGCGUGCGGAAAGAAGGCCUUCGGGUUGUAAACCGCUUUUGUUCGGAAAGAAAUCCUCUGGGCUAAUACCCCGGGGGGAUGACGGUACCGGAAGAAUAAGCACCGGCUAACUACGUG